CCUACGGGUGGCAGCAGUGAGGAAUAUUGGUCAAUGGCCGUAAGGCUGAACCAGCCAAGUCGCGUGAAGGAAGAAGGAUCUUUGGUUUGUAAACUUCUUUUAUAGGGGAAUAAAGGUAUCCACGUGUGGAUAUUUGCAUGUACCCUAUGAAUAAGCAUCGGCUAACUCCGUGCCAGCAGCCGCGGUAAUACGGAGGAUGCGAGCGUUAUCCGGAUUUAUUUGGUUUAAAGGGUGCGGAAGUUGGUUUUUAAGUCAACGGUGAAAGUUUGGGGCUCAACCAUAAACUUGCCGUGGAAACUGGAAGACUUGAGUGUGUUUGAGGUAGGCGGAAUGCGUGGUGUAGCGGUGAAAUGCAUAGAUAUAACGCAGAACUCCGAUGGCGAAGGCAGCUUACUAAGCCAUAACUGACACUGAGGCACGAAAGCGUGGGGAGCAAACAGGAUUAGAUACCCUUGUAGUC
rnacentral:rRNA from 1 species